ACUAUAUAUAUUUUUUAAAUUAUUAUAUUUUUUAUAUAUAUUAAUUAGAAAUGUACCAAUGUGUGAGUUUACUUGACUUUACAAUGGAUUUACAAUGGUUUAUUAAAUAAUUAAUUUGUUUUUUUUACUGUAAGAUUUUGGUGUGAAAGCAGCUGUGCUGCUGCAGUCAGCCAAUCAGAGACUGUUGCUAACGCGUCGCGCCUCCAGCCUCCGGAUCUUCUCCAUGUUUGGGUUCCACCGCCGCGCCCGGUGAGUGUGUCAUUUCCCAAAUGAUUCCUCAGAUCCACACUCGCGUAUGUGUGUCUGCUCAUGUUUAUGAUUUACAGAAGACUGCGAUGCUAUCGGCUGCAGUACAAACAGCCACAGAAAUGUUGCCAGCAUGUGAGUGUGAGAAUACUUUGGGGUUCAGGACUAAUGGAUGUAAUUUGUUUGUUCAGGUGGCCAUGUGGAGCUGGAUGAAAAGGUACAUGCUGUAUUACAUAAACAGUGCAUUGUUAAUCAAUCAGUCAGUCAAGUAAUUUUAAAUUAAAUUGAGAGAUUUAGUUUGUGAUUGAUUGAUGUUUUAUAAUUCAUAUAGAGUGGGGUCCAAAGUCUGAGACUACUUGAUGAAUAUUAAGUGUUUUGCAUUUUAAUUUAAUACAAUAUUUUCAUUACAAAUUAUAUUAUUAGCAUAGCAGACUGUAAGUAAUCCAGGUUUUUUAAAGUACUUGAGCUAUGUGAACUCCACAAGUUUGUUAUAAUAUUUGUACAAAGUCACAAAUGUACUUAUAGGAUUAUUGACCAAGAAAUAGUGAAGAAUUGGAAAUAUUUGUUCUUUAUUUUAAUAUUCUGGUGUUGUUCUGGUGUUACUGUGGGCAGUAAGAUCUUUUUCUCUUAUGUUUACCAAGAUGCUUUUAUUUGAUUAAAAAUAGCAGCUGUUACUCCAUUCAGUCACAUGCUCCUUCAGAAAUCAUUGCAAUAUGCUGAUUUGCUGCUCAAAAAGAAUCUUUUUAUCGUCAGUGUUGAAAACAGUUGUGCUGUUUAGUAUUUUUGUGGAAACUGUGAUACAAUUUUCAGGAUUCUUUGAUAAAUAGAAAGUUCAAAAAAAUUUUUUUUUCGUAACAUUCUAUAUGACUUUACUCUCACUUUUGCUCAGUUUAAUGGUUCCUUGUUUAAUAAAAGUAUUAAUUUCCUUAAAAAAAAAUCGUAC
ensembl:lncRNA